rnacentral:lncRNA from 1 species
GAGAAAUUCUCCGGAAAAAAAAACCCAAAAUUCUCUAGAGCCUACACUAUGACCCUACGAGUUCAUAUUCCUGGGUCCGUCCCUGCUCCCUAGUGGCAUAAAUCCAAAUUGGUUAUCUGACACUUGAUCCUUUGAUUAGUCUUUGUUCUAUUUCCUUUCCCCACAAUUCCAUAGAAGACAUGAGAUCAAAUUAUGAAAUCCAUUUAGCUAAGUGAAGAGCCAAUAUCACUAAUUACCCUUAGCCAAGGGAUUCCCACUGAAACCAAGGUCCAUAGAAAUGCUAUCUAGUGUCUCAUUAACCACUCUGCAUUGACAAAAACAACAAAGAGUAUGCUAUAUAUAAGUUAGAAAAACAUAUAAAUAAGAAAAACAGAAAAGGAAAUUGAGUUUCAGCAUUAGGGACGAACCCGAGAUGGUAGCCAAAUAAGAAUCAAGAAAGAGUUGCCACAAGCAUAUACGAGGCAAAGAGCGUCUCCAUGAAGGGUUUCCAAUUCCUAUUCUAGCCCUUCCACCAUCAAGCUUCGGAAGUCUGUAAGCCAAAUUCAUUUAAUUUUACUUUAUCUGGCAUUUAUAUCUUACUAUACUAUUUUUAGUAAUUCUAAUAUAUAUAUAUAUAUAUUUUUCAAAAGCAAAUUACCAAUUCAUACCAUUUCCGGUAAUCAUCAUGCGCUCUGCUUCUUCUGUUACUCUGGUUAUUUCGGCUCCAGCAGGCUCCCUAUCAAUCCAGAAAUUAACAAGAUAUAAGCCAAAAGAUAUAAGCCACGGAGAGAGAGAGAGAGAGAGAGAGAGAGAGAGAGAGAGAGAGAGAGAGAGAGAGAGAGAGAGAGAGAGAGAGAGAGAGAGAGAUGAAGAGAAUCUGGAAAACACUGAGCCAUGAAAUACCAGAGGGCAUUGAGAGAUUGAACCACUCUUUAACUCCUGAGAUGUUUGAGAAGCUGCAUCAUGCCGUGCAAUUCGUUGAUGACUUGAAGACCACGACCGUUUUUUCUGUUUUGGGGGCUGCUGCGGUAUCCUGCUUGUCUUUGACUGUGACGGCAGACUCAUGUUUUAUCAUGGUCAGAGCCCCGAACGCAAGGGAGAAGAGAGCGGCGGCUGCGGUUGCGGCAGCGACAGCAGGCGAAGCAGCCCCUGCUUCUCCAGGACUGCUCGGGCUCCUGGGAGCGGGAACGGCUGUGGCAGCGAUAGUGACAGUGGCAGUGACAGCAAGAGGAAGAGAGGGAGCGACGGCGACAGAGGCAACCGAGUAUAAAAUUGAAGGAAUACGUACAUGUAAUGGGCCAACUGAGAAAUUCUGUUGAAAAAAAACCUCAAAAUUCUCUAAAGCCCAUUCUUCAACAGAAUAUGAAAUUGAACACAAUUCUUCAACCGAGUACGAAAUUGAAGGGAUACAUACCUGCAGUGGGCCAGCUUUUCUUGUGAAGAUUGAUGAUCCUUCUUGGUUAGUUUGGGGAAAAAAAAACCCAAAAUUCUUAAAAGCCCAUUCUUCAACCGAAUAUGAAAGUGAACACAAUUCUUCAACUGAUUAUGAAAUUGAAGGAAUACAUACAUGUGGUGGGCUAGUUUUUUUCUUGUGAAGCUUGAUGAUCCUUCUUGGCAAGAAAUUCUCUGUAAAAAAAAAACCCAAAAUUCUUAAAAGCCCAUUCUUCAACCGAAUAUGAAAGCGAACACAAUUCUUCAACUGAUUAUGAAAUUGAAGGAAUACAUACUUGUGGUGGGCUAGUUUUUUUCUUGUGAAGCUUGAUGAUCCUUCUUGGCAAGAAAUUCUCUGGAAAAAAAAAGCCCCAAAUUCUCUAAAGUCUAUUUUUCAACUGAAUAUGAAAUUGAACACAAUUCUUCAACCGAGUAUGAAAGUGAAGGAAUACAUACCUGUGGUGGACCAGCUUUUUUUGUAAAGCUUGAUGAUCCAUCUUGGCUAGAAAUUGCUUGGAAAAAAAACCGCAAAAUCCUAUAAAGCCCAUUCUUUAACCAAAUAUGAUAUUGAGCAUAAUUCUUCAACCGAUUAUGAAAUUGAAAGGAUACAUACCUAUAAUGGGUCAGCUUUUCUUGUGAAGCUUGAUGAUCCUUCUUGGCUAGAAAUUCUUUAGAAAAAAAAAACCUCAAAAUUCUCAAAAGCUCAUUCUUUAACCGAAUAUGAAAUUGAACACAAUUCGUCAACCGAGUAUGAAAUUGAAUGAAUACAUACCUGUGAUGAGCCAACUUUUUUUGUGAAGCUUGAUAAUCUUUCUUGGCGAGAAAUUCCCAGGAAAAAAAACACCAAAAUUCUCUAAAGCCCAUUGUUCAACCGAAUACGAAAUUGAACAUAAUUCUUCAACCGAGUAUGAAAUUGAAGGGAUGCACACCUGUGGUGGGCCAGCUUUUCUUGUGAAGCUUGUUGAUCCUUCUUGGUUAGAAAUUCUCUGGGAAAAAAACCCCAAAAUUCUCAAAAGCCCAUUCUUCAACCGAAUCUGAAAUUGAACACAAUUCUUCAACCGAUUAUGAAAUUGAAGGAAUACAUACAUGUGGUGGGCUAGGUUUUUGUUGUAAAGCUUGAUGAUCCUUCUUGGCAAGAAAUUCAAUGGAAAAAAAACCCUAAAAUUCUCUAAAGUCCAUUCUUCAACCGAAUACGAAAUUGAACACAAUUCUUCAACCGAGUAUGAAAUUGAAAGAAUACAUACUUUUGAUGAUCCAUCUUGGCAAGAAAUUCCCUGGAAAAAACAAACCCCAAAAUUCUAUAAAGCCCAUUUUUUAACCAAAUAUGAAAUUGAGCGCAAUUCUUCAACCGAGUAUGAAAUUGAAAGGAUACAUACCUGUGGUGGGCCAGCUUUUCUUGUGAAGCUUGAUGAUCCGUCUUGGCUAGAAAUUCUCUGGAAAAAAAAAACUCAAAAUUCUCAAAAGCCCAUUCUUCAAUCUAAUAUGAAAUUAAAUACAAUUCUUCAACCGAGUAUGAAAUUAAAUGAAUACAUACCAGUGAUGGGCGACCUUUUUUUGUGAAGCUCAAAAAUCCAUCUUGGCGGGAAAUUCUCUGGAAAAUAACCCAAAAAUUCUCUAAAGCUCAUUCUUCAACCGAAUACGAAAUUGAACACAAUUCUUCAACCGAGUACGAAAUUGAACGAAUACAUACCUAUGGUGGGCCAGCUUUUCUUGUGAAGCUCGAUGAUCCUUCUUGGUUAGAAAUUCUCUGGAAAAAAAAAACUCCAAAAUUCUCUAAAGCCCAUUCUUCAACUGAAUAUGAAAUUGAACACAAUUCUUCAACCGAGUAUGAAAUUGAAGGAAUACAUACCUGUGAUUGGCUAACUUUUUUUGUGAAGCUUGAUAAUCCUUCUUGGCGAGAAAUUCUCCGAAAAAAAAACCCAAAAUUCUCUAGAGCCUACACUAUGACCCUACGAGUUCAUAUUCCUGGGUCCGUCCCUGCUCCCUAGUGGCAUAAAUCCAAAUUGGUUACCUGACAUUGAUCCUUUGAUUAGUCUUUGUUCUAUUUCCUUUCCCCACAAUUCCAUAGAAGACAUGAGAUCAAAUUAUGAAAUCCAUUUAGCUAAGUGAAGAGCCAAUAUCACUAAUUACCCUUAGCCAAGGGAUUCCCACUGAAACCAAGGUCCAUAGAAAUGCUAUCUAGUGUCUCAUUAACCACUC